UAACGAAUCUUCCGCAAUGCACGAAAGUGUGACGGAGCGACGCCGCGUGGAGGAGAAGCCCUUCGGGGUGUAAACUCCUGUCAGGGGUAAGAAAGUUCUGAUCUACCCCAGAGGAAGAGGCGGCUAACUCUGUGCCAGCAGCCGCGGUAAUACAGAGGCCUCGAGCGUUAGGCGGAAUCACUGGGCUUAAAGCGUGUGUAGGCGGACUGGUAAGUACCUUGUGAAAUCCCACAGCUUAACUGUGGAACUGCUCGGUAUACUGCUGGUCUUGAGCCACUCAGGGGCUACCGGAACAAAUGGUGGAGCGGUGAAAUGCGUAGAUAUCAUUUGGAACGCCAAUGGUGAAAACAGGUAGCUGGGGGUGUGCUGACGCUGAGACACGAAAGCCAGGGGAGCAAACGGGAUUAGAUACCCCCGUAGUCC
rnacentral:rRNA from 1 species